rnacentral:rRNA from 1 species
UUAAGCGACUAAGCGUACACGGUGGAUGCCCUGGCAGUCAGAGGCGAUGAAGGACGUGCUAAUCUGCGAUAAGCGUCGGUAAGGUGAUAUGAACCGUUAUAACCGGCGAUUUCCGAAUGGGGAAACCCAGUGUGUUUCGACACACUAUCAUUAACUGAAUCCAUAGGUUAAUGAGGCGAACCGGGGGAACUGAAACAUCUAAGUACCCCGAGGAAAAGAAAUCAACCGAGAUUCCCCCAGUAGCGGCGAGCGAACGGGGAGCAGCCCAGAGCCUGAAUCAGUGUGUGUGUUAGUGGAAGCGUCUGGAAAGGCGCGCGAUACAGGGUGACAGCCCCGUACACAAAAAUGCACAUGCUGUGAGCUCGAUGAGUAGGGCGGGACACGUGGUAUCCUGUCUGAAUAUGGGGGGACCAUCCUCCAAGGCUAAAUACUCCUGACUGACCGAUAGUGAACCAGUACCGUGAGGGAAAGGCGAAAAGAACCCCGGCGAGGGGAGUGAAAAAGAACCUGAAACCGUGUACGUACAAGCAGUGGGAGCACGCUUAGGCGUGUGACUGCGUACCUUUUGUAUAAUGGGUCAGCGACUUAUAUUCUGUAGCAAGGUUAACCGAAUAGGGGAGCCGAAGGGAAACCGAGUCUUAACUGGGCGUUAAGUUGCAGGGUAUAGACCCGAAACCCGGUGAUCUAGCCAUGGGCAGGUUGAAGGUUGGGUAACACUAACUGGAGGACCGAACCGACUAAUGUUGAAAAAUUAGCGGAUGACUUGUGGCUGGGGGUGAAAGGCCAAUCAAACCGGGAGAUAGCUGGUUCUCCCCGAAAGCUAUUUAGGUAGCGCCUCGUGAAUUCAUCUCCGGGGGUAGAGCACUGUUUCGGCAAGGGGGUCAUCCCGACUUACCAACCCGAUGCAAACUGCGAAUACCGGAGAAUGUUAUCACGGGAGACACACGGCGGGUGCUAACGUCCGUCGUGAAGAGGGAAACAACCCAGACCGCCAGCUAAGGUCCCAAAGUCAUGGUUAAGUGGGAAACGAUGUGGGAAGGCCCAGACAGCCAGGAUGUUGGCUUAGAAGCAGCCAUCAUUUAAAGAAAGCGUAAUAGCUCACUGGUCGAGUCGGCCUGCGCGGAAGAUGUAACGGGGCUAAACCAUGCACCGAAGCUGCGGCAGCGACACUAUGUGUUGUUGGGUAGGGGAGCGUUCUGUAAGCCUGUGAAGGUGUACUGUGAGGUAUGCUGGAGGUAUCAGAAGUGCGAAUGCUGACAUAAGUAACGAUAAAGCGGGUGAAAAGCCCGCUCGCCGGAAGACCAAGGGUUCCUGUCCAACGUUAAUCGGGGCAGGGUGAGUCGACCCCUAAGGCGAGGCCGAAAGGCGUAGUCGAUGGGAAACAGGUUAAUAUUCCUGUACUUGGUGUUACUGCGAAGGGGGGACGGAGAAGGCUAUGUUGGCCGGGCGACGGUUGUCCCGGUUUAAGCGUGUAGGCUGGUUUUCCAGGCAAAUCCGGAAAAUCAAGGCUGAGGCGUGAUGACGAGGCACUACGGUGCUGAAGCAACAAAUGCCCUGCUUCCAGGAAAAGCCUCUAAGCAUCAGGUAACAUCAAAUCGUACCCCAAACCGACACAGGUGGUCAGGUAGAGAAUACCAAGGCGCUUGAGAGAACUCGGGUGAAGGAACUAGGCAAAAUGGUGCCGUAACUUCGGGAGAAGGCACGCUGAUAUGUAGGUGAAGUCCCUCGCGGAUGGAGCUGAAAUCAGUCGAAGAUACCAGCUGGCUGCAACUGUUUAUUAAAAACACAGCACUGUGCAAACACGAAAGUGGACGUAUACGGUGUGACGCCUGCCCGGUGCCGGAAGGUUAAUUGAUGGGGUUAGCCGCAAGGCCGAAGCUCUUGAUCGAAGCCCCGGUAAACGGCGGCCGUAACUAUAACGGUCCUAAGGUAGCGAAAUUCCUUGUCGGGUAAGUUCCGACCUGCACGAAUGGCGUAAUGAUGGCCAGGCUGUCUCCACCCGAGACUCAGUGAAAUUGAACUCGCUGUGAAGAUGCAGUGUACCCGCGGCAAGACGGAAAGACCCCGUGAACCUUUACUAUAGCUUGACACUGAACAUUGAGCCUUGAUGUGUAGGAUAGGUGGGAGGCUUUGAAGUGUGGACGCCAGUCUGCAUGGAGCCGACCUUGAAAUACCACCCUUUAAUGUUUGAUGUUCUAACGUGGACCCGUGAUCCGGGUUGCGGACAGUGUCUGGUGGGUAGUUUGACUGGGGCGGUCUCCUCCUAAAGAGUAACGGAGGAGCACGAAGGUUGGCUAAUCCUGGUCGGACAUCAGGAGGUUAGUGCAAUGGCAUAAGCCAGCUUGACUGCGAGCGUGACGGCGCGAGCAGGUGCGAAAGCAGGUCAUAGUGAUCCGGUGGUUCUGAAUGGAAGGGCCAUCGCUCAACGGAUAAAAGGUACUCCGGGGAUAACAGGCUGAUACCGCCCAAGAGUUCAUAUCGACGGCGGUGUUUGGCACCUCGAUGUCGGCUCAUCACAUCCUGGGGCUGAAGUAGGUCCCAAGGGUAUGGCUGUUCGCCAUUUAAAGUGGUACGCGAGCUGGGUUUAGAACGUCGUGAGACAGUUCGGUCCCUAUCUGCCGUGGGCGCUGGAGAACUGAGGGGGGCUGCUCCUAGUACGAGAGGACCGGAGUGGACGCAUCACUGGUGUUCGGGUUGUCAUGCCAAUGGCACUGCCCGGUAGCUAAAUGCGGAAGAGAUAAGUGCUGAAAGCAUCUAAGCACGAAACUUGCCCCGAGAUGAGUUCUCCCUGACCCUUUAAGGGUCCUGAAGGAACGUUGAAGACGACGACGUUGAUAGGCCGGGUGUGUAAGCGCAGCGAUGCGUUGAGCUAACCGGUACUAAUGAACCGUGAGGCUUAACCUU